AUUGAACGCUGGCGGCAGGCCUAACACAUGCAAGUCGAACGAGUGGCGGACGGGUGAGUCAUGUCUGGGAAACUGCCUGAUGGAGGGGGAUAACUACUGGAAACGGUAGCUAAUACCGCAUACCAUCGGAUGUGCCCAGAUGGGAUUAGCUAGUAGGUGGGGUAAUGGCUCACCUAGGCGACGAUCCAUAGCUGGUCUGAGAGGGUGACCGGCCACACUGGAACUGAGACACGGUCCAGACUCCUACGGGAGGCAGCAGUGGGGAAUCUUGCGCAAUGGGCGCAAGCCUGAUGCAGCCAUGCCGCGUGAGUGAAGAAGGCCUUCGGGUUGUAAAGCACUGUCAGCAGGGAGGCGUUACCCGAAGAGGAAGCACCGGCUAACUCCGUGCCAGCAGCCGCGGUAAUAC
rnacentral:rRNA from 1 species